CAAGGCAGGCGACUAUUCCGGUUGGCUGUCCGAGCAGGGAGGGCGCGUUUCGAGCGAGCUGAGUAGCUUUUCAGUGCUGAACUUCCCCGUGACGAGGAGGCACGUAUCAACGAGACACGCGCACCGCACGUCAUCGCAAGGUUGCGCGAAGGUCAUCUGCUGCUGGUUGGCGUUUUAUUGGACUGAUUGAAGAUCAGCGGCGGGGCGGCGGCGACGACCGGUGGACAUGCUCCAAUCGGGCACCCCUGUCAACAAGCGACCCCGCGUCGACGCGCGCGGUCCCAUCAGCAACGGUCCGAUGCCGCGGCCGCUGGUGGCCCUGCUCGACGGCAGGGACUGCUCGGUGGAAAUGCCCAUCCUCAAGGAUGUGGCCACCGUAGCGUUCUGCGACGCACAGAGCACCUCCGAGAUCCACGAAAAGGUGCUGAACGAGGCCGUCGGCGCCCUGAUGUGGCACGGCAUUAGUCUCACCAAGGACGACCUGGAAAAGUUCCGCGCGCUCAAGAUCAUCGUCCGUGUCGGCAGCGGCGUCGACAACAUCGACACCAAGGCGGCGGCCGAGCUCGGCAUUCACGUGUGUAACGUGCCCGGCUACUCUGUGGAGGAGGUGGCCGACUCGACCAUGUGUAUGAUCCUGAACCUCUACCGGCGGACCUACUGGCUUGCGCGCAUGGUGGCAGAAGACAAAAAGUUCAUGGGCCCAGACGCGAUCCGAGACGCGGCGAACGGUUCAGCGCGGAUCCGGGGCGACACGCUGGGUAUCGUGGGCCUCGGCAAGAUCGGUCAGGCGGUGGCGCUGCGGGCCAAGGCGUUCGGCUUCGCCGUCUACUUCUACGACCCGUACAUCCAGGACGGCAUCGACCGGGCGCUGGGCAUCACGCGCGUCUUCACACUCCAGGAGCUUCUGUACCAGUCAGACUGUGUUACCCUUCACUGCUCACUCAACGAGCACAACCACAGGCUCAUCAACGACUUCACCAUCAAACAGAUGAGGCCAGGCGCGUUCCUGGUGAACACAGCGCGCGGCGGUCUGGUGGAUGAAGAGGCCCUGGCUGCGGCGCUCAAAGAGGGCCGGAUCCGAGCAGCUGCCCUGGACGUGCACACCAACGAGCCCAACAACAUCUUCCUCGGUCCGCUGAAGGAGGUAAAGAACACCAUCAUCGCCACGCCGCACGCCUCGUACUACUCAGAGGCGUCGUUCAGCGAACUGCGAGAGAUGGCAGCCACAGAGAUCCGGCGCUACAUCGUCGGACACAACCUGCGCAACUGUGUCAACAAGGAGUACCUGAAGAUGGCCUCGUACGGCGACGGCCUGAACGGCGCCGGCGCGCCCGGCCUGCCGGCACCCGGCGCUCCCAGCAGCUACUACCCAGCCCAGAUGCAGCGGGGGAUGGGUGUGGCGGCGCACUCGACCUCCGCGCACGACGCCGCGUCGCUGUCCGUACCGUCCUCCCUUCCCCACCACCUCCCCACGGCGCAAGUUCCAGAGCGGCUCUGAGGGGGGUCGCCGCGGCCGCCCGAGCAACACUGCAGCGAGCCACAGUACCUGAGUCAAGGCAGCCGACCAGCACACAAGAGAGCCAUAGCUUAAUAAAGCCAGAGUCGUCGGACAUCCACUGAGCGCGCCCGCAGUGCCACCUGCCGGCGCUCGGACGAACUACACAUCCGCCGUCGCCCGAUGUGAUAGGCGACGUGGUGGGUGCGCCGGGAUCCGUCGGAACCACCGGAGACCGCGGGGAACCACUGGGAACCAGCGGCGCCGCGGCGGCCGCGACGAAUCGCCCCAGCGGCUGGCGCUGACUGGAGCGGGGAGCCGGGGACUGACAGUGCUGGACAUUUCUCCAUCGCACCGACCGGCGCGCCGGGGCCGGGCCGAGUGUACGCGUGCGUGUGUGUGUCUGUGUGCGUGUCUGCGUGCGUGAGAGGGCGGCGGGGGCGCGGCCGCCGCGAGUUGCCGAGCUCGGGAAGCUCCUGUACAAACCGCGCGUAUUUUUGCUGUGUCUGAUGCGUGAGCGAGGAGCGGGCCGCCGCGCGAGCGACGAGGCUCGCCGGCCGCCAGAGAGACGAGACGAGUCGCCACCGGGACGCCCUCAGAGAGCCCAGACGAACCGCCGCCGCCCCAGCCCUGUGUAUAUUACCGUUCAUGGUCAUUUGGUCAUCAUGUAGAUCUUCCAUAAAUAAAGGAGACUUAACGUUGAUCUGUCUGUUGCGGGCGGCGCGGCCGGCCGGCCGGUUGGACGGCUGGGAAUGGUGUCGCCGCCGGUUUGGACUGUGUGCCGUGCCGGCAACGGUCGGCAUUGUGUAAUCUCGCGUCAAUGACCUGGAUCGAGGAAUAAAGCGCGCAGUGGUCGGAUGUUA
rnacentral:misc_RNA from 1 species